GCCACGGUUUGGGUGUGACGACUCACAUCACCGCGGAUAUAUCCUUGUGCUACAAGCUACAUUUUUCGCGCAAACUAAAUCAGAUAAUUCAAUUUGUAAAAAUGAGAAAUGUAAUAUGAACAAAAAAAUUGAUAGAAAUUUCUGUGUAGAUUAGCAUGAAUGACUUGGUAAUUUCGGUUAUUGUGAAGAAGGAAUUAAUGAAUGAAGCACCCCCUAUAAAUACAGGAUUCUCAUAUUGUUAUGCUUCAUAUCGAUCAUCAACAUUCAUAACAUACAUAUAUCCACAUUCCAAAAAGCAUAUAGAUAAUAAUGAGUAGCGAAAGCAUAAACAUUCAAAAGGUUCUGUGCCCUGUGACAAGGCCACCUCCUACUAAUUCAAAUCCUCCUCCAAAACCUGUAAAAAAGUUGCCAACUAUUCAAGAUGCCUUUGCAAGAAGGACCAAAUCAUAAUCCCACUACAUUCUAGUGUGCUUUUGGUGAAUGAAGCAGUGCAAUUAAGUUACGUACCAUGAGGAGGAUAUAUGUAGUGGUCUUAUUUGUUUAUUUUAUUUAUUUGUUAGUUUGACUUCACAUACAUUUGUUAAAAUAUGUGCUUCUAUCUCCAAUAAGGUGAAAAUUCAGGUGAAAAUUCAGGUGAAGUUGGUGAAGUCAACUUCACGUGAAGUUGAUAUCUGAGAGUUAUUGGAUGAAAAUUUAGUCAAAUCAGUCAAAUCAUCUAACAACUCUCAGAUAUCAACUUCACUUAAAGUCAACUUCACCUGAGUUUUCACCCUCCAAUAAUUGUACUUUAAUUUAAUGUGUUUCUCAUUGCAAACAAGUGAGAGUUAUCAUAGUAAUAAAAUGUGAUGAUAUGCAUUUGUGCGGUGUUAAA